rnacentral:lncRNA from 1 species
AAUAUGGUUAUGGAUAUACUGGUAUCCUAUCCAGUUUCAGCCUUAAAAUAGAAUUUUGGAAGACAAUGUGAUCACUGCUAUUUAUCAAUGCAUUAUCGAAUUGAGCCACUUUUCAGACCACAAGGUUCCCAGUUUCCAACUACUGGUUAGGCUACAAAAUGAACUUACGGUCACUUAUUUCUUCUAGAUGUACUCUGAUAAAGUGAAAAAUGGGAUUUUGAAAGGCAUGAUUGAUUUUCUGCUCUUUUUUUUUUUUUUUUCUUUUUUUCCAACAGAAAUCCUGAAUGGCCUUCAAUGGUAUAAAGGAAAAGAACUGCAAGGACAUACUUACUAUGUUCGAAUUGAGA